GACGAACGCUGGCGGCGUGCUUAACACAUGCCAGUCGAACGGAAAGGCCCUGCUUUUGUGGGGUGCUCGAGUGGCGAACGGGUGAGUAACACGUGAGUAACCUGCCCUUGACUUUGGGAUAACUUCAGGAAACUGGGGCUAAUACCGGAUAGGAGCUCCUGCUGCAUGGUGGGGGUUGGAAAGUUUCGGCGGUUGGGGACGGACUCGCGGCUUAUCAGCUUGUUGGUGGGGUAGUGGCUUACCAAGGCUUUGACGGGUAGCCGGCCUGAGAGGGUGACCGGCCACAUUGGGACUGAGAUACGGCCCAGACUCCUACGGGAGGCAGCAGUGGGGAAUAUUGCACAAUGGGCGGAAGCCUGAUGCAGCAACGCCGCGUGCGGGAUGACGGCCUUCGGGUUGUAAACCGCUUUCGCCUGUGACGAAGCGUGAGUGACGGUAAUGGGUAAAGAAGCACCGGCUAACUACGUG
rnacentral:rRNA from 1 species